AAACUCGAUUAUUUUAUCAGAUCUCGUUUUGUAAGGUUGUUGUGGCUAAACGUGAGGUUCUCUGAUAAUUACUUGUAUGAACCUUUGGUCGGAGCUGUUGUACCAUGGAGAAAGCUUGGGUCUGGUUGCCAAGUCAAAGGAGAUCAUUUUGGAGCAUCUGGUAAUUAGAGGGAUGGAUCUAAAGUACAAGAGAAGUAAUUGUUGGAGUAAACAUGGUGAUUUGAGGAAUGAUAAGAGAACAUAUGUUCCUACUUGUGAAAGUGAGGCUUAUGAUUUGAUUAGGACAACUUUUAAGGCAAGCAAUCAUCUCAGAAUCAGAAAGUAGAAGAGUUGCAUGACAAUGACAGUCAAGAAGAAGUUGAGUUUAGGAAGAAGUUAGAGGAUGCAAAAACUCCAUUAUACUCAACUUCUCAGAACUACACAAAGGUUUCUGCAAUCAUGGGACUCUACCAGAUAAAAGUCAAGAGUGGGAUGUUAGAAAACUUCUUUGAUCAGCUUCUGAUGCUAGUUCAUGACAUGCUUCCUGAUUACAAUGUGUUGUCUAAGUCUACAGAUGAGAUGAAGAGAUUUUUAAAGCUUUUUGGUUUUGGUUAUGAUGCCAUUCAUGUGUGCAGAAAUGACUGUAUCCUUUACAGGAAUCAAUAUGAGGAGUUAGUGAGCUGUCCAAGAUGUAAUGAAUCAAGAUGGGAAAAGAAUAAGCAUACGGGUGAGGAGAAGAAAGGGAUUCCAGCACCAAGCAACAACAUUGAUGUAUAUUUUCACCCAUUGAUAGAUGACCUAAAGGAAUUGUGGAAUGAAGGUAUGGAAGUGUAUGAUUCAUUCAAGAAUGAGAGUGUCAUUUUAAGAGCUAUGUUGCUAUGGAGUAUCACUGACUAUCUAGCUUUACGUACAUUAGCUGGAUGAAAAGUGAAGGGAAAGCAAGACUGUAAUGUUUGUGUGAAGGAUACACCUCAUAGGUCGUUGAAGCAUAGUCGCAAGCAUGUUUAUAUGGGUAACAGGAAGCGUUUGAGGCCACAACAUCCUUACAGACGUAAGAAAGUAUGGUUUGACAACACAGUGGAGUUUGGCACUGCAAAUAGAAUUAAGAGUGGAGCAGAAAUAUAUGAGAGCCUUAAAGACUUCAAGAAUGAAUUUGGUAAACCUUUAGAUAAGAAAGGAAAGAGAAACAUGAAUGGAGCCAAUGAUGACAAUGUGAGUUCAGGUGAUGAGUAUGAAGAAGGUGAUAAUCAAUGGAGGAGGAAAAAGAGAUCAAUCUUCGUUGAAUAGUCUUACUGGAAGUACUUGCCAGUGAGGCAUAAUAUUGAUGUAACACACGUAGAGAAGAAUGUGUCUGAUGCAUUAUUAUCCAUUCUGAUGCAUAGUGUAAAAUCCAAGGAUGGCUUGAAAGCAAGAAAAGACUUAGAAGAUAUUGGUAUCCGAAGCAACUUACAUACUGAGAUGCGUGGUAAGAGAAAUAACUUGUCUCCAGCUACAUAUUGAUUUUUUAAAGAAGAGAAACGUAAAUUUUUUAAAAGGUUAUCCAAAUUCAGAGGCCCUAAUGGAUAUUGUGCCAACAUCUCCAAUUGUGUGACAGUAGAUCCUCCUAACAUUGGUAGUAUGAAGUCACAUGACCACCAUGUUCUUAUUCAGAAUCUGCUUCCUUUGGCAUUGAGUGGUUUACUGCCUAAAGGAACUCGUGUUGCAGUGAAUCGUAUAUGCAAUUACUUCAACAGGUUGUGCCAACGUGUAAUUGAUUCAGAGAAGCUCGUUACAUUAGAAUCAAAAUUUGUGGAAACAAUGUGCCAGUUGGAGAGAUACUUUCCACCUUCACUUUUUGACAUUAUGUUUCACCUGCCAAUACAUCUAUCUAGAGAAGCACGCUUAGGUGGCCCUGUUUAUUUCAGAUGGAUGUAUCCUUUUGAGAGGUACAUGAAGACACUUAAAGCUUAUGUGAAGAAUUUUGCAAGGCCAGAAGCUUGUAUGGCUGAAGGUUACUUCGCUGGUGAAUGCAUUGCAUUCUAUUUUGAAUUCCUUAAGAAAUCUUUCCCAGUUCAUGAAACCAUUAAUCGCAAUGAAGAUAUUGAGGCAUAUCAAAAUUUCCUUUAAGGCAAACCACUACAGCAAGCUACAGAGAAGAUCCUUACAGAUAAGGAGCGAGACAUAGCUCAUCGGUAUAUUCUUAUGAAUACAACAGUCAUGGAUCCAUAUCUUGAGUGAGUGCAAAACUAAAAGAGUCAUAGUUUUAAAAAUUUGUAUAAUAUAUUUUCAGUGACUAAAUUUAUGAAAGAUGUUGCAUUUGGAAGAACUACAAACUAGAGAUGCAAGAUGUGCAAAAAAUGAAACUCUAUUGUGGAA